rnacentral:rRNA from 1 species
GAUGAACGCUAGCGGCAGGCUUAAUACAUGCAAGUCGUGGGGCAGCAGCUUUAUAGCAAUAUAGAGGCUGGCGACCGGCAAACGGGUGCGGAACACGUACUGAACCUUCCUUUAAGUGGGGAAUAGCCCAGAGAAAUUUGGAUUAAUACCCCGUAACAUAUAAAAGUGGCAUCACUUUUAUAUUAAAGCUCCGGCGCUUAAAGAUGGCAGUGCGGCUGAUUAGGUAGUUGGCGGGGUAACGGCCCACCAAGCCUACGAUCAGUAACUGGUGUGAGAGCACGACCAGUCAAACGGGCACUGAGACGCGGGCCCGACUCCUACGGGAGGCAGCAGUAAGGAAUAUUGGUCAAUGGACGGAAGUCUGAACCAGCCAUGCCGCGUGGAGGAUGAAGGUCCUCUGGAUUGUAAACUUCUUUUAUCUGGGACGAAAAAGGGCUUUUCUAAGUCAACUGACGGUACCAGAUGAAUAAGCACCGGCUAACUCCGUGCCAGCAGCCGCCGUAA